GACGAACCGUGCGAACGUUAUUCGGAAUCACUGGGCUUAAAGCGCGUGUAGGCGGAUGGGAACGUCGGUCGCUGAAAUCCCCCGGCUCAACCGGGGAACUGGCACCGAAACGACCCGUCUGGAGGGACGUAGGGGGACCUGGAACUUCCGGUGGAGCGGUGAAAUGCGUUGAGAUCGGAAGGAACGCCCGUGGCGAAAGCGAGGUCCUGGACGUCUACUGACGCUGAGACGCGAAAGCUAGGGUAGCGAACGGG
rnacentral:rRNA from 1 species